rnacentral:lncRNA from 1 species
AAAAAUGUGUUACAGAACUGUUCUAAACCUCUGCUGAAAUUGGACUGGUGUAUUGGAUCAACUUUUGAGUCAUAUGAUCAACUCAUAUAGUGAAAUUGUGAUUGGAUAGUUUUUAGACUCUGCUGGCCAGUUGAACAUGUCAUUUUUGGUUAAAUAAACUUGCUCACAGUGCAAAAUUAUUGAUCCAAACACUUUGAAUCCUCUGCUGUAAUUUGAUUACUGAAUUGGUCAUGAUUUAGUGUGAUAAAGCAACUGAACUAGUCAAAUUUUGAUUCAAGCAUGAUUUGCCUAUAUUGACAGUCCAUACAUGUUAGAAUUGGCCAACCAAAGUUGCUUGAAACACUAAAUUAGAAUGUUAUGCACGUUUGUGAAAUUUGACCAUUUCAGUUACCAUCAUUCAGCAUUAUUUUUUUGAAUAAGUUGCAGCGUUUUUAUGACAGUAUUGCUGUGAAGUGUGCAUCCAUAUUGUAUGAUCAUUGGUA